GAAGUACUCCCUCCGUCCCAUAAUUCUCGUCUCAAAUUUGCCAAAAAAAAAAGAUGUAUCUAUUCCUAAAAAGCGUCUAGAUACAUGUAAUAUUUCGACAAAAAUUAUGGGACGGAGGGAGUAUCUU
rfam:Brachypodium distachyon strain Bd21 chromosome 3, whole genome shotgun sequence.